rnacentral:rRNA from 1 species
AGUGAACGCUGGCGGUAGGCCUAACACAUGCAAGUCGAACGGCAGCACAGUAAGAGCUUGCUCUUACGGGUGGCGAGUGGCGGACGGGUGAGGAAUACAUCGGAAUCUACUUUUUCGUGGGGGAUAACGUAGGGAAACUUACGCUAAUACCGCAUACGACCUACGGGUGAAAGCAGGGGAUCUUCGGACCUUGCGCGAUUGAAUGAGCCGAUGUCGGAUUAGCUAGUUGGCGGGGUAAAGGCCCACCAAGGCGACGAUCCGUAGCUGGUCUGAGAGGAUGAUCAGCCACACUGGAACUGAGACACGGUCCAGACUCCUACGGGAGGCAGCAGUGGGGAAUAUUGGACAAUGGGCGCAAGCCUGAUCCAGCCAUGCCGCGUGGGUGAAGAAGGCCUUCGGGUUGUAAAGCCCUUUUGUUGGGAAGGAAAAGCGGCAGGUUAAUACCCCGCUGUUCUGACGGUACCCAAAGAAUAAGCACCGGCUAACUUCGUG